UCCACGUUGGCUGGUUUGAAACUGUGGUGUAUGUUUAAGCUCAGGCUGGAAAAGGAUCACUGAAAGUCACUUGGAUGGUGUUUCGUGUGUCUGUGAUGAGCUUGCUGUUGCUUUCUUUCUUCUUGACAGAUGAGAAAACAGUGGCUUCAAAGGUCAAACAACUUGUCUUCGAUUGCACAGCUAACAAGAGCUCACUGUCCAAAGAGAGUCUCUCUCCCCGGUCCACAUGCUGAGGCUUGCUCCAGAGUGAAUGUGUGCACUGGAAAGAACCCACACAGGCCCCCUGAGAGCCGUCAGCCUUGCCAGGCUUCUGUGAGAUACCUGGGUCCGAGUAGCCAAGCUGGGAGGAGCACCAUUUGCCCACUGACUCUUGGGCAACGCUGCAGCCUGCAUCCCAGCCGGCAGAAGGCAGGUGGUAUCACAGCUGAGUUUACAGCCACUGAAGGGCCCACUGCAUGCUUUUAGUAGAUAACAUGUUUUCUCUGCUUCAGAUCCUUAUUUUGGUUGCUUAAAAUUUCUGCAGAAAACAAACAGCUUCUGCCAAAAUUGGCUCACAAAAUUAGCUUAGUAGUAUAAUCAGUUGUAUAGCAAGUAUUUACUGAGUAGCUCUUGGAAGGCAGUCAACACAAGAGGGAUGGAUCAUUCUUCCAGUUCAUCACACGUGGGUUGGACAUACUAACAGUCCCCGAUAGCUAUCAGGUGAGUAAAUGGAUGAUCACACAAAGGCAGAGGCAUUGCAGAAGGAUGCUAACUAGAUGUCAUGAGUCAAGGAUACUACAGAAGGAUCUCAUUGCUGACAAAGAGGGUACCUCUAAGGUUCCUUCAGAUGGGAUGGUUCUCUGUUCACCGUGAUCACUGCUAUGCAAAGCCCUGUGGGCCAUUUAGGAGAAAAGCAUUCAAUCCAAUUCUACAGACACAGUGAGGAUGUAAUAUGCCCUAGGCAUAUAUGAGUGGAUCCAAGGAGGAAAUACUCAGUCACUACUGUCAAGAACUCAUGACCUGCUGCAGGGUUUGCCAAACUAUGGCUUGUGGGCCAAUCUGGCUCACCACCUAUUUUUGUAAAUAAUGUUUUACUGGAAUCCAGACACACUUGUUUGAUUACAUGUUGUCUAUGGCUGCUGAGCACCCACUAUAAGGGCAAAGUUAAGUAGGUAGAGACUUUAUCACCCACAAAACCUAAAAUAUUUGACUAGAUGGCCCUCUACAGAAAAAGCCUGUGAACCUGUGGUCUUGUGGGAGGACACUGCUGGGCACAGUUAACUCUAAUUCUUGGCUGUAGCAUCUUGAAUAGGGUGGCAGUCCCAGGCUGCUGAGGGGGACAGCUGGACGGCUGCCUCCCAGGGGCAUUUCCAUGACUUGC
rnacentral:lncRNA from 1 species